rnacentral:lncRNA from 1 species
AGUUCAGAGAAAACUAUCGCCUUGAAACUUCAAUCUUUAUGGAAAGAUUUUGACAAUCUCAAAAUGGAAGAACGAGAGUCUGUUCGUGAUUUCUCUUCACGAGUUUCGGAGAUUGUAAACCAAAUCAAAAGUUGUGGAGAUACAAUUAAAGACAAAAGAGUUGUUGAAAAAGUGCUUCAAUAUCUCCCUUCAAAAUUUGAUCAUGUAGCCGCCGCAAUUGAAGAAUCAAAAGAUUUGUCUAAAAUGACCAUGUACGAGUUGAUCGGAUCGCUUCUUGCACAUGAGCAAAGAAUCAAUCGUUCGGCUAGUCAAUCAAUCGAACAAGCCUUCCAAUCAAAGCAAGCAUUAAAAAUAACUUUAAGCAAUCAUGGAGGUUCAAACAAUAAAAAGGGAAAGUUUAGCAAGUGGAGUCAAAAUGAAAAGCAAAGCAAUUGGAAAGCCAAGGCACCACAACAAUCCGGUAAGGCUCAAUCUUGCAUUAUUUGCAAAAAGAACAAUCAUGAAUCAAAAGAUUUCUAUUUUAAAUGCAAAAGAUGCAAGGUACCUAAUCAUUCUCAAAAGGAUUGUUGGUUUCAAAAUAAGGAGAAAAUGAAGAUGCGGCAAAUUUUUUAAAGAAA